UCAAGUAAUUAAGGGUUUAUGGGGAAUACCUUGGCAUUCAGAAGCGAUGAAGGACGUGGUUACCGACGAAACAUUUCGGGGAGCUGGAAACAAGCUAAGAUCCGGAAGUAUCCGAAUGAGGAAACUUUUAAAUAACUAUUUAUUUAAUUAAUAGAUAAAAUAGAGUGAACCCAGGGAACUGAAACAUCUUAGUACCUGGAGGAAAAGAAAGUAAAAACGAUUUCCUUAGUAGCGGCGAGCGAAAUGGAAACAGCCUAAACUUAUAAAUCAUAAGGGUUGUGGGACAGUUGUUAUAAAUUUGUAAAAGUUAGAAGAAUAAGUUUGGAAAACUUAACCGCAGAGAGUGAUAGUCUCGUAUUCGAAAACUAAAUCAAUUCAAACUGUAUCCCAAGUAGCAUGGAACACGUGAAAUUCCGUGUGAAUCUGCGAGGACCACCUCGUAAGGCUAAAUAUUACUGAAUGACCGAUAGUGAAAUAAGUACCGUGAGGGAAAGGUGAAAAGAACCCCGGUAAGGGGAGUGAAAAGAACAUGAAACCAUAAACUUACAAGCAGUAGGAGAACGACUAUUUAACGUUUGACUUCGUGCCUGUUGAAGAAUGAGCCGGCGACUUAUAGGUAGUGGCAGGUUAAGACAGUGAAUGUUGGAGCCAUAGUGAAAGCGAGCCUGAAUAGGGCGUUUGUCUCUAGUUAUAGACCCGAACCCGGAUGAUCUAACCAUGGCCAGGUUGAAGCUUAAGUGAAACUAAGUGGAGGACCCAACCGACUGAUGUUGAAAAAUCAGCGGAUGAGCUGUGGUUAGGGGUGAAAUGCCAAUCGAAUUCGGAGCUAGCUGGUUCUCCCCGAAAUGCGUUUUGGCGCAGCGACAAAUCUUAUAAUUUAGGGGUAAAGCACUGUUACGUAUGCGGGCUGGUAAUUCGGUACCAAAUCGUUGCAAACUAAGAAUACUAAAUGAAUAAUUUGUUAGUAAGACUAUGGGGGAUAAGCUCCAUUGUCAAGAGGGAAACAGCCCAGAGCACCAGCUAAGGCCCCCAAAUAAUUACUAAGUGGUAAAGGAGGUGGGAGUGCAGAGACAAUCAGGAGGUUUGCUUAGAAGCAGCAAUCCUUUAAAGAGUGCGUAAUAGCCCACUGAUCGAGUAAACCUGCGCCGAAAAUGAAUGGGACUAAGUAAUUUGCCGAAGCUGUGCGAUAUACUUCCAGUAUAUCGGUAGGGGAGCGUUCUGUUGUAGGUUGAAGUAUUAGCGUAAGCGGAUAUGGACAAAGCAGAAGUGAGAAUGUCGGCUUGAGUAACGAAAAUAUAGGUGAGAAUCCUAUACCCCGAAAACCCAAGGUUUCCUCCGGAAGGCUCGUCCGCGGAGGGUUAGUCAGGACCUAAGGCGAGGCUGAAAAGUGUAGUCGAUGGACAACGGGUUAAUAUUCCCGUACCGUUUUUUAUUAAUAUCGAGGGACGGAGAAGGCUAAGCUAGCUGGAUGUUGGUUACCAGUUUAAGCGUUCAAGACGUUGAGAAGUGGAGAAAACACUUUGAGUUGAGACGUGAUGACUAGACGUUAAGGCGUCAAAGUAGUGUAUGUCAUGCUUCCAAGAAAAGCUCGCAAUGUUAUAGAUAAAAAACGCCUGUACCAUAACCGACACAGGUGGGUAGGUAGAGUAUACUAAGGGGCGCGAGAUAACUCUCUCUAAGGAACUCGGCAAAAUAGCUCCGUAACUUCGGGAGAAGGAGUACCUCAUUUAUGAGGUUGCAAUAACAAGAUCCAAGCAACUGUUUAUCAAAAACACAGGUCUCCGCUAAGUCGUAAGACGAUGUAUGGGGGCUGACGCCUGCCCAGUGCCAGAAGGUUAAAGAAGUUGGUUAGUGUAAACGAAGCUAAUAACUGAAGCCCUGGUGAACGGCGGCCGUAACUAUAACGGUCCUAAGGUAGCGAAAUUCCUUGUCGGGUAAGUUCCGACCUGCACGAAUGGCGUAAUGAUGGGGGCACUGUCUCCACCCGAGACUCAGUGAAAUCGAAAUCGCAGUGAAGAUGCUGUGUACCCGCGGCUAGACGGAAAGACCCCGUGCACCUUUACUAUAGUUAUAACUUGCAAUUUCAAAUUUUUUGUAUAGCAUAAGUGGUAAAACAUUGUUUUACGUCAGUAAAUAAAACAAAAUUGCCCCUUGAAAUACCACUCUAAAAAUUUGUUGUUGCUAAAUAUUUAAAGUUUAUAACGGGUAGUUUGACUGGGGCGGUCGCCUCCUAAAGAGUAACGGAGGCGUAUAAAAGGUAGGCUUGAAUAGGCUGUAUUCCCCUAUUUCGUACGCAUAAUAGCAUAUGCCUGCUUGACUGUUAGAUAGUACAAAUCGAUCAGGGACGAAAGUCGAUUAUAGUGAUCCGGUGAUUCCUCAUGGAAGGGUCACCGCUCAACGGAUAAAAGGUACGCCGGGGAUAACAGGCUAAUCAUUCUUUAGAGACCCUAUCGACAGAAUGGUUUGGCACCUCGAUGUUGGAUUAUCGCAUCCUGGAGCUGAAAAAGGUUCCAAGGGUUUAGCUGUUCGCUAAGUAACGCGGUACAUGAUCUGAGUUUAGAACGUCGUGAGACAGUUUGGUCCCUAUCUACCAUGAGCAGGAAAAUUGAGAGGGGUUAAUUCUAGUACGAGAGGACCGAAAAGAAUAAACCUAUUGUGGAUCAGCUGUUGCACCAUCAGCAAUGUUGAAUAGCUACGUUUAUAAAAGAUAAUCGCUGAAAUCAUCUAAGCGAGAAACUAUCCUCAAGAUAUAUUUUCUUCAAGGCGUAAAAGAUUAUUACGUUAAUAGGCUUUAAGUGCAAUAAUCGCAAGAUUAUCAGCUUAAAAGCACUAAC
rnacentral:rRNA from 1 species